rnacentral:rRNA from 1 species
GACGAACGCUGGCGGCGUGCCUAAUACAUGCAAGUAGAACGCUGAAGGAGGAGCUUGCUUCUCUGGAUGAGUUGCGAACGGGUGAGUAACGCGUAGGUAACCUGCCUGGUAGCGGGGGAUAACUAUUGGAAACGAUAGCUAAUACCGCAUAAGAGUAGAUGUUGCAUGACAUUUGCUUAAAAGGUGCAAUUGCAUCACUACCAGAUGGACCUGCGUUGUAUUAGCUAGUUGGUGGGGUAACGGCUCACCAAGGCGACGAUACAUAGCCGACCUGAGAGGGUGAUCGGCCACACUGGGACUGAGACACGGCCCAGACUCCUACGGGAGGCAGCAGUAGGGAAUCUUCGGCAAUGGACGGAAGUCUGACCGAGCAACGCCGUGUGAGUGAAGAAGGUUUUCGGAUCGUAAAGCUCUGUUGUAAGAGAAGAACGAGUGUGAGAGUGGAAAGUUCACACUGUGACGGUAUCUUACCAGAAAGGGACGGCUAACUACGUG